rnacentral:rRNA from 1 species
AUUGAACGCUGGCGGUAUGCUUAACACAUGCAAGUCGAACGGUAGCAGGCCUUCGGGCGCUGACGAGUGGCGGACGGGUGAGUAACGCGUAGGAAUCUGCCUGGUAGUGGGGGACAACGUGGGGAAACUCACGCUAAUACCGCAUACGCCCUACGGGGGAAAGCGGGGGACCGUUCGGGCCUCGCGCUAUCAGAUGAGCCUGCGUUAGAUUAGCUAGUUGGUGGGGUAAAGGCCUACCAAGGCGACGAUCUAUAGCUGGUCUGAGAGGAUGAUCAGCCACACUGGAACUGAGACACGGUCCAGACUCCUACGGGAGGCUG